AAUGUUUGUGUCUAUUUGUUUAGA
rnacentral:siRNA from 1 species